rnacentral:rRNA from 1 species
UACGUAGGGCGCAAGCGUUGUCCGGAAUUAUUGGGCGUAAAGAGCUCGUAGGCGGUUUGUCGCGUCUGCUGUGAAAACCUAAGGCUCAACCUUGGGCUUGCAGUGGGUACGGGCAGACUAGAGUGCGGUAGGGGUGACUGGAAUUCCUGGUGUAGCGGUGGAAUGCGCAGAUAUCAGGAAGAACACCCGUGGCGAAGGCGGCUCUCUGGGACGUGACUGACGCUGAGACGCGAAAGCGUGGGGAGCGAACAGG